rnacentral:lncRNA from 1 species
UAGUUGCUACAUAUCUGCAGUCCCUGGAAAAAUAUUUGGCAUAGAAGAACAACAGGGAUGAGACCUCCACCAUACGCAGAGGUGACGAACUUGCGGUAAACAUCCCAUUUGACUCUUCCAGAUUCACGCUCUUCUUCACAUUCCCUCCCUAUGGCAUGGCCAUCUGAUUCUAUUUCUGUGGUCAAAAUCUGCUUCUUCUGUUGUUUGAUUUCGGCCAAGCCAUGUGCUUUUGCUGGGUUGACCUGACUAAGGGAUUGAUCAUGUGCAGCCAUUUGCUCCGAGAGCUCUCCAUCUUUGUCAGCUAUCAGAUCAUCAUAUUUCCCAGACUGAACAAUCCUUCCAUCGUUCAUAACCUUCAAGUGACCAUUCACAGCCAUCUGUUAGAAUUAGAUGUUGCCAUGCCCGCAUGACAUUAUAACUCUACAUUUUUGCUCUAUUUUAAGAUAUCUACAAUGUUUUAUUUUUCUGUUUGAACCAAGUUUGAAAUGCACAACUUUUCUUUAACUCGGGUAAAAACUAGUUACGCGUGGAAAACUGGGUUGACACCUUACCAGAACGAGGUCUGAAUCUCGCAAGAACUCUAGCUGAUGAGUAACAUACAUGACUGUCUUAGAGGACAUUAGCCUCAGUAAGCAUUCCUGCAAAUACAAAUUGAUCAAUUAAUUCAUUUCAAGAAGUUGAUGCUGACCAGAUCAAGAAUAUAAAUACUCGAUGAAAAUACUCUAGCUUAUAGAUUAUUUAAUGGCUAUACAGAUUAGUACUGUAAACGCUGUGUUUACUUGUUUACUUAUGUUCCACGUCUUAUGCUGUAGGCCUGUAAAUUGUAGUGAUUGCCCUUGAAGCUCAUGUGUUGCUUAUGUAUUGCAGAUUGCUCAUGUGUAAUUACCUUGAAGAGAUGUGCACUAGUAUGUGCAUCCACAGCACUGAAGGGAUCAUCCAAGAAAUAAACAUCAGAAUCGCUGUACAAUGCCCUCGCAAGUUGGAUCCUCUGCUUCUGGCCUCCACUUAGGUUCACACCUCUUUCCCCAACUACAGUCAUAUCUCCAUUGGACCAUAACUCCAAAUCUCUAUCCAAAGCACACCCUUGUAGCACCUCUUCGUAUAAGCUUCUGUCCAUAGCUUUACCAAAGAGCACAUUGUCUUGAAUUGUCCCAGUUUGAAUCCACGCACUCUGUGGGACAUAUGCCCUUGACCCGACAACUGUUGGUUCUGCACCGCUAACCCUUGGAAUCUCUCCCAUGAUGCUGUAAAGGAGGCUUGAUUUGCCUGAACCAACUGGCCCGCACACCGCAACCUUGAGACCCUUCCCGAUGCUCACCUUGCUGUUGAUCUUGAGUGUUACCUUUGUUUUCUUCGAGCUAUUGUCAGCUUCCCAACUGUACUCUCCUGGUUCAAUUACUAUUUCACCAGUCAUUGCCAAGUCCUUCGUUCCAGUUAUGUUGCCAUAAAAACUUGGCUUCCCCUGGUAGUCUUCUUUGAUGAACUCCUCUAUUCUAUCCAAGGACACCUUGGUUUGUGUGACCAUUGACACAAGCUCAGGGAGGUUGUAGAUUGGGUCUUGGAGGAUUCUAAACGUGGCAAGGGCUGAUAAGACUGUUCCAGCUGACAAUGGUAUCUCCACAAGAAUGCAGACACCAAAGGUAACGACCGAAACCAACGUUGGUGAGGCCCAGAACAGGAAAGCUAUUGCUGAGCACGUAUAGAGAUACUUCCUGAGCCACCCCCUUUCCACAUCCCUGAGCUUCAGGAGCUUGUCCAAGUAGGCUGUCUCCCAUGCAUGAAGCUUCAAGAUCCUCAUGCUCUUCAUUGCCUCAGCCAUAGCCUUGAUGCGCGAGUCCUUCGCCUCCAUUAUCUUCAUAUUGAGGUUCUGCUGUGAAUUUGCCAGUGGCGUGUUGCUCACCAUCACCAACACUGUUACGAGGACUGCAGACAGCGAGGCCAUUGCACCAAGACUAUGGUACAGGAUGGCAAGUGCUAAGAAAAUUUGCAAGGGCAGCAACCAAAUCCCAUGGAUGUACCAGAAGAACUCACCAACCUUCUCGACGUCAACAUCAAGGAAGUUCACAACUUUCCCUGCAACUGUGCUCGAGUUCUUCAUUAGCAAGGACUUCUUGUAGAUGGACACCAUCAGUGCUGCGCGCACCUGGAAUCCAAUUCUGCGGGCGCCAAAGUACCACUGCCGCUGUGAGAGUGACUCAACUGUCUUGGAGGCAAAGAAGAGGCAUGCAAGCAUGUAGCCAUGGCCAUGGCCCUUUUCAGUGUUCUUGUCGGAGAGUAGCUCCACCAAGUAGGUGAUCAAGAAUGGUCCCAUAUAAGAAGAAAAAGUGUUGAGCCCUGGUAUUGGAAGCCAGUUACUGUAUUAACAGAUUGCCAGGACAAACACUAGUUCUAUUAUUGAAAAAAGAAGCAGAACUGUUCACUAACCUGCAAAGACUGCAUUGGUGACCAAAGGUGUCCAGACAGCACAAAUGAUGGCUUCCCGCAGUGGCAUCGGCUCUGGUUUCUGCUUGUGGAGUGUCUCCUGAAGCAAGGCAUAUGACUGCUCUGCCGUCUCGGACUGAGGCACAGACGGGAUGUGUUCCAGCUCGAGCCUCACCCUGUGCCCCUUCUCAAAGACUGGGUUCAGCCACCGGAAUGUGAGGCGACUCCACCACCCCGAGCUAGAGAACCUAUCCCUGCUGCUGUCAUCAGCGUCCUCCCUCAGUAGCAGCGGCUGGUCCAGCUCUUUCUGGUUUGCUUUGGAAAGGCUCAUAGCUACAACCACCAGGCAGAUGACGGUGCAGAAAGGAAGAGAAGCGAAAUCGACGACGACAGUUGCAGAAUCAAAGAGGCGAAGCAAAUGCAGCGUGGCGAGGACCGAUUCCGAUAGGAAGCUGAAGAACCACCAAGAAACAAGAACCGGAGGCCAGUUGGACGAUACUACUACUCCUGCAGCAUCUUCAUGCUUGAAGUAGAGCAAGAGUAGAGUAGACAGAAGCCAUGAGGCAGAUUCAAAUACCAGGCCCGGGGAGACGGCUCGCUGCUUCCAGAACCCAAGAACCGAGAACCCGAUAUGGGACAGCGCGAUGGAAGCGUUGCAGAAUGCAACUAUACUGGCUGCCCCUCCUCGCUGCCACGAGGCCAUGUCGCCGCCUUGCCCUGCCGCUGCUGCUUCCUGAUGCCUCCGCUUCCUCCGUUUCAAGAACUCUGCAAGGGUCCAAACCAGCAGGACGGCGAACGCUGCUGCCCGGACGCAGUCCAAUGCUUGCAAUUGCUCCAUGGGAUGCUGGAAAUCAUCAGAAGGUGGCAUGGAGCUGUGAAACGCAGCAAGAUGGCAAGGAAUUGCCCUGUUACACUGAGGCAAGAGAGUGAGAGACAAACUUGGGCAAAAGAAGCUAAGCAGUGAGUAGUGGGAGGGGACGGGGGCGUGUGCUGACCAAAAGGAGGACCUGUCAGCACGUGGUGGCUUGAGACGCGAUGUAGUUAGUAUGUACUGUAGUUGGGAUCUGCAACGGCAUCAAGCCUUGUGCUGCUGAUCUUUUUCAAGUGACGACCUCAAUGUUUACUGCUGACCUAAAACCAACGAAGAAGAUAGAAUCAAUGGACAAAUGUAUAUUGAGAUACAAGGGUUUACCGAGAGAGAAUCAAAGGGUAGAUAUUGUUGAGAUAAAGGGUUUUGCGGCAUGCGUGCAUGCAUCUUGAUUGGGUUUGCUGGCUGACAUCUACUCCCUCUGUACCCAAAUACAUGUCGCUGGAGUAGCUUAAGUUCAGCUACUCCAGCCACAUGUAUUUCGAUACAGAGGAAAUAGCUUGGACUCUUUUGGCAUAAAGCAGGGGAAAGGUCUGUAUCAAAGUCCAGGGAUAACGAAACAUGCACCAACUAGGCAACUAUUAGAGCUGGCCGCGGCGCGGAUGGAGUGAGUACAAAGUGCUUUGUCAUCUAAUCAAUUGCUCUUAUCCCGCCCAAGGGGAAGGUAUAUAUUCGAUUUCAGCUAAUGCAGUAUGCAGCUAACUGUGCUACUCCCUCCGUCCAAUAAUAUAGACGUUUUUUACACUAGUGUAUGAUGAUGUAUCUAGCAGAGGGGUUUCGAUAGGCUCGAGCCCCCUUCAAAAAUUGGAAAAGAAAAAAUACUACUAUUCUAUAAAACAUUUGACCUUAUUUGGAUCAAAUUUGAUUUUUUAUACACACAUUUAACUUUGAGUCCCUUUAUUUCUGUCAAGAUUUGUCAUUGCUAAUGUAGUGUCAAAAACGUUUUUAUAUUAUGAAACGGAAGAAGUACUUCUUCUGUUCUAAAAUAAAUGUCUUAAUUUUAUAUUAAUGUUAGUAUAAAAUAUACUACUAAGUUUGAGACACUUAAAACGUAACCAGCAUCCUGUCAGGGAGACGGCCGUUUAAACAAACAAACAAACACAAAAAACGUCGGGGAGAAGUUGAGCCUCACCGUCGAAGAAGAUUAACUGCAAUAUCCAGAUGCCACUGAUUGAAAAGACGACAGGACGGACAAAGAGAGCCGGGGGACGGCCAAUCCAAGGUUC